UACGUAGGGUGCAAGCGUUGUCCGGAAUUAUUGGGCGUAAAGAGCUCGUAGGCGGUCUGUCGCGUCGGCUGUGAAAUCCCGGAGCUCAACUCCAGGUCUGCAGUCGAUACGGGCAAACUGGAGUACUGCAGGGGAGACUGGAAUUCCUGGUGUAGCGGUGAAAUGCGUAGAUAUCUGGAGGAACACCGGUGGCGAAGGCGGCAUCCUGGACCGGCAUUGACGCUGAGGCGCGAAAGCCAGGGGAGCAAACGGG
rnacentral:rRNA from 1 species